ACUUGAUGGUGUGGGCAUUUAUGAAGAAGGUCCAUAAAACGCUCCCAGGUCUCAAAAAAAAUUUCCCUAUCCAUUUGUGCAAAACUUGUGAUUUACCUUCGCAGCUC